GGCUCCCUUCCUUUUUCCCUUCUCCACGAAAGAAACCGGAGAGGGUUUUGCCCAACUACAGAACAUCGGCGCGCCGUCGACUCUGGCCUCCCCUCACCAAGCCAAGGCCACCAAGAGCUUCUCCUCGUCAUUCUGAAUCUCUUCGACAGACGCACACAGCGAAUCGAGCUCGAAAUCGUCGACAGGGACCACUUCUCCAUCUUCGCCGCCGGCAGAAAUCCCAUCCUUCCGGCCGCCUCCGACCUCUUCCACCCCAGCCGAGGUGUCCAUCAACUUCCUGGCCUGCGUGCUGCUCGUGCUCGUCCCUGAAGGAUUCCUUUCCGGCCGCCAACAGCCUCACGUUUGCCUCCAGGUCGUGCAAGCACACGCAAAUCUCUGCACGCGCACGUCAGGCUGCUGGUUACUGGUCUCCUCGUCGCUGUUUCCUGCACAGUGCACUAGCUCCCGGCUUGAAACGAUCCACCUGCUAGCCUGCUUGCUUAAGCUAGCUAGUCACGGCUGGAAUCGAUUAAGCUGUCUGCUUGCUUCAACAAUCAAUCGACCCAGCUGCUUCAUUUGCUUCUUCCCGGAUAGGAUCACGAAGUGUUGAUGUGAGAUACGACGAGUUCUCCGACAAGUUCUUCUGCAGCUUUUCACAGGCGAGCCCACCCCUUCACCUAUUUUACUUUUACAUGCUCUUUUGAUCUAUUGCUAUCCUUAUGUUGCGAUUCUGUUGUGUCACGUGUCCUAUCCACCUGUUACCUAUAUGUCCGAGAUACACCUCCUCGCCCUACCUAUUGUUUGUUGUUUGCCAGCUUUGCGAGUCGUAGGCGAGUUUAGGGUUUUCUGUUGAUAUCUCGAAAUGUUCGGGAUAUCUUGUUGGGAUGUUGACACAUGUACUACCUUUUCCAAAUGAUGAUGAAAACUUUUGCUACAACUAAAAUUGCUAAGGGAUAAUAAUAUUGCAGAGGCAUCUGUGAGCCCCUUUGCGAAAGCAUCGGAACUUUGACUUGCUAAUGUCCCCUAGGACCUGAGUUCUUGUUAUCUGUUCCGAGAUUGAGCGCUCUACCCAUGCGUGGGGACGAUUAUUGGGA